CAUGUGGUUUAAUUCGAUGCAACGCGAAGAACCUUACCUGGUCUUGACAUCCACGGAAGUUUUCAGAGAUGAGAAUGUGCCUUCGGGAACCGUGAGACAGGUGCUGCAUGGCUGUCGUCAGCUCGUGUUGUGAAAUGUUGGGUUAAGUCCCGCAACGAGCGCAACCCUUAUCCUUUGUUGCCAGCGGUCCGGCCGGGAACUCAAAGGAGACUGCCAGUGAUAAACUGGAGGAAGGUGGGAUGACGUCAAGUCAUCAUGGCCCUUACGACCAGGGCUACACACGUGCUACAAUGGCGCAUACAAAGAGAAGCGACCUCGCGAGAGCAAGCGGACCUCAUAAAGUGCGUCGUAGUCCGGAUUGGAGUCUGCAACUCGACUCCAUGAAGUCGGAAUCGCUAGUAAUCGUGGAUCAGAAUGCCCACGUCCGAUACGUUCCGGCCUU
rnacentral:rRNA from 1 species